rnacentral:rRNA from 1 species
CCUACGGGUGGCUGCAGUGAGGAAUAUUGGUCAAUGGACGCAAGUCUGAACCAGCCAUGCCGCGUGCAGGAAGACGGCUCUAUGAGUUGUAAACUUCUUUUGUACGGGGGUAAACGCAGAUACGCGUAUCUGUCUGAAAGUAUCUUACGAAUAAGGAUCGGCUAACUCCGUGCCAGCAGCCGCGGUAAUACGGAGGAUUCGAGCGUUAUCCGGAUUUAUUGGGUUUAAAGGGUGCGUAGGCGGUCUGAUAAGUUAGAGGUGAAAGUCCGAGGCUCAACUUCGGAAUUGCCUUUGAUACUGUUAGGCUAGAGAGUAGUUGAGGUAGGCGGAAUGCAUGGGGUAGCGGUGAAAUGCUUAGAGAUCAUACAGAACACCGAUUGCGAAGGCAGCUUAC